AUUGAACGCUGGCGGAAGGCCUACCACAUGCAAGUCGAACGAGUGGCGGAAGGGUGAGUAAUGUCUGGGAAACUGCCUGAUGGAGGGGGAUAAAUACUGGAAAAGGUAGCUAAUACCGCAUACCAUCAAAUGUACCCAGAUGGGAUUAGCUAGUUGGUGGGGUAACGGCUCACCAAGGCGACGAUCCCUAUCUGGUCUGAGAGGAGUACCAGCCACAUUGGAACUGAGACACGGUCCAGACUCCUACGGGAGGCAGAAGUGGGGAAUAUUGCACCAUGGGCGCAAGCCUGAUGCAGCCAUGCCGCGUGUAUGAAGAAGGCCUUCGGGUUGUAAAGUACUUUCAGCGGGGAGGCGUUACCCGCAGAAGAAGCACCGGCUAACUCCGUGCCAGCAGCCGCGGUAAUUC
rnacentral:rRNA from 1 species